UACGAAGGGGGCUAGCGUUGUUCGGAAUUACUGGGCGUAAAGCGCACGUAGGCGGAUAUUUAAGUCAGGGGUGAAAUCCCAGAGCUCAACUCUGGAACUGCCUUUGAUACUGGGUAUCUUGAGUAUGGAAGAGGUUAGUGGAAUUGCGAGUGUAGAGGUGAAAUUCGUAGAUAUUCGCAAGAACACCAGUGGCGAAGGCGGCUCACUGGCCCGAUACUGACGCUGAGGCACGAAAGCGUGGGGAGCAAACAGG
rnacentral:rRNA from 1 species